CCCUCCAGAUGUUUUGGACUACAACUCCAAUCAGCCACUGUGGCUUGAGCUGAUGUGAAUUGUAGUCUAAAACAUCUGGAGGG